rnacentral:rRNA from 1 species
GACGAACGCUGGCGGCGUGCUUAACACAUGCAAGUCGAGCGGUAAGGCCCUUUCGGGGGUACACGAGCGGCGAACGGGUGAGUAACACGUGGGUGACCUGCCCUCAGCUCUGGGAUAAGCCUGGGAAACCGGGUCUAAUACUGGAUAUGACUCCAUGACGCAUGUUGUGGGGUGGAAAGCCUUGUGCGGCUGAGGAUGGGCCCGCGGCCUAUCAGCUUGUUGGUGGGGUGANGGCCUACCAAGGCGACGACGGGUAGCCGGCCUGAGAGGGCGACCGGCCACACUGGGACUGAGACACGGCCCAGACUCCUACGGGAGGCAGCAGUGGGGAAUUUGCGCAAUGGGCGAAAGCCUGACGCAGCGACGCCGCGUGAGGGAUGACGGCCUGGUUGUAA